rnacentral:rRNA from 1 species
UACGUAGGGCGCAAGCGUUGUCCGGAAUUAUUGGGCGUAAAGAGCUCGUAGGCGGUUUGUCGCGUCUGCUGUGAAAACCUAAGGCUCAACCUUGGGCUUGCAGUGGGUACGGGCAGACUAGAGUGCGGUAGGGGUGACUGGAAUUCCUGGUGUAGCGGUGGAAUGCGCAGAUAUCAGGAGGGAACACCGGUGGCGAAGGCGGCUACCUGGACAGAAACUGACGCUGGAGGCGCGAAAAGCUAGGGGAGCAAACAGG